UGUACUGAUGCCUCAUCUCUUCUAGUAGGAAAGCAGACAGCCCCCAGUGUGCCCAGCACCACCAAGUGAGAGCACUCUUCAGGGCAGGUGUACUGUGCAAGGUAGCCUCUUAAUCUUCUCACAUGCACAAGCACUAUUUUUCAUACCAGCUGCAUCUUAAACACUCAGUUAAGAUGGUGAUUAGUGGUGGUGGUAGGGUGUCACAGUGGGAGCUUUCUUAAGAAGAAAAGGCUUUGAUUGAGCCAAUGAAAGCUGUUGCCAGGGAACCAGAUGCCAUGAACACACCACUCCAGCAGAGCAAGAAUACAAACCAUCUACACAGAAAAACUUAAGCCUGCAGGAUGCAGAUCAAAACUUCCCUCCCAGGUUCAGCACUGCAGUUCCACUGGAGUCAGAGAGGCUAGGAAGAAAGCAUCAGCUUUUUGUGUAUUUUUCAUCUUGCCUUGAGGAUCAUUAUAACUGGAAGUCUCAUGAAACUUACUUCCGUUUUAGCAAAACUUCAAAUGCAAAGCACAUCAUGAAGGACUGCUUGGGUCUGCCUCUUCCAGAAAUCUACACUACAAGAAUGG